rnacentral:rRNA from 1 species
AAGUGGCGUACGGGUGAGUAACACGUGGAUCAUCUACCUUCUAGUGGGGGAUAACCCUGGGAAACCGGGGCUAAUACCGCAUAAGCUCGAGAGAGGAAAGCAGCAAUGCGCUGGAAGAGGAGUCCGCGGCCGAUUAUGCUAGUUGGUAGGGUAAAAGCCUACCAAGGCUACGAUCGGUAGCCGGCCUGAGAGGGCACACGGCCACACUGGCACUGAAACACGGGCCAGACUCCUACGGGAGGCAGCAGUGGGGAAUCUUGCACAAUGGGGGCAACCCUGAUGCAGCGACGCCGCGUGAGCGAUGAAGCCCCUCGGGGUGUAAAGCUCUUUCGGCAGGGAAGAUUAUGACGGUACCUGCAGAAGCAGCUGCGGCUAACUACGUGCCAGCAGCCGCGGUAAUACGUAGGCAGCAAGCGUUGUUCGGAGUUACUGGGCGUAAAGGGUGUGUAGGCGGUCCCCUAAGUUUGGUGUGAAAUCUCCCGGCUCAACUGGGAGGGUGCGCCGAAAACUGGAGGGCUAGAGUGCGGGAUGGGAAAGUGGAAUUCCUGGUGUAGCGGUGAAAUGCGUAGAUAUCAGGAGGAACACCUGUGGUGUAGACGGCUUUCUGGACCGCAAC